GACAGAGGGUGCAAACGUUGUUCGGAAUUACUGGGCGUAAAGCGCGUGUAGGCGGCUAAGUAAGUCGGGCGUGAAAUCCCACGGCUCAACCGUGGAAGUGCACUCGAAACUGCAUAGCUAGAGUCCUGGAGAGGAAGGUGGAAUGCUUGGUGUAGAGGUGAAAUUCGUAGAUAUCAAGCGGAACACCGGUGGCGAAGGCGGCCUUCUGGACAGUGACUGACGCUGAGACGGCGAAAAGC
rnacentral:rRNA from 1 species